GAUGAACGCUGGCGGCGUGCCUAAUACAUGCAAGUCGAGCGAACAGACGAGGAGCUUGCUCCUCUGACGUUAGCGGCGGACGGGUGAGUAACACGUGGAUAACCUACCUAUAAGACUGGGAUAACUUCGGGAAACCGGAGCUAAUACCGGAUAAUAUAUUGAACCGCAUGGUUCAAUAGUGAAAGACGGUUUUGCUGUCACUUAUAGAUGGAUCCGCGCCGCAUUAGCUAGUUGGUAAGGUAACGGCUUACCAAGGCAACGAUGCGUAGCCGACCUGAGAGGGUGAUCGGCCACACUGGAACUGAGACACGGUCCAGACCCCUACGGGAGGCAGCAGUAGGGAAUCUUCCGCAAUGGGCGAAAGCUUGACGGAGCAACGCCGCGUGAGUGAUGAAGGUCUUCGGAUCGUAAAACUCUGUUAUUAGGGAAGAACAAAUGUGUAAGUAACUAUGCACGUCUUGACGGUACCUAAGCAGAAAGCCACGGCUAACUACGU
rnacentral:rRNA from 1 species